rnacentral:lncRNA from 12 species
GCGAACGGGACUCUGGCCCGCAGGAGGAAGGGAGGGGCCCCGCUCCCCACCUGGGAACCGGCGGAGAGGGGCGCUCCCUGCCGAGCCGUGCGGCCGGCGCAGGGGCGGCCCCGGGAGCCCGGAACGCUACGCCGGAAGGCGCAGGGAGGCGGGCGCGGAGGCGAGCGGCCUCGGAGGCGGGCGGGGCGGGGCGGGGCUUCGGCAGCCAGAGGCGGGAGUCGGAGGAUCGGGGCGGGGCCUGGAGGUUCGCGGGCUGACCCGGGCAGUGGGCGGGGCCCGCGAGGCCGAGGACCGGGUCAGGCCCGUGGGCGGGGCUCGGCGGCGCCCUCGGGUCGGUUCGGAAGCCGUGGGAGGGGAGGCGGGCCGCGGGCUGCAGGGGCAGCGGGCGGGGCUCGCAGGCGCCGCGGCUCCGGCUUUGAGGGGCUCUGCGGGAAUCUCCGAGGAGCCGGGCGGGCCGGAGGGCGGAGCUCUGAGAACGCCCCUCCCGGUUCUGAGGGGCAGCGGGCGUGGCCCGGGGGCGCCCGGAGGCGUGGCCCUGGGGGUGGACUCGUGGGCGGCGCGUGGGCUCGGCUGCCGCCUCCCUCCGCAGCCCACUCGCUCCCCCCGGCGCGACCAGAGGGGGCGCUAAGGAGAGCGGGGCGGGCUUCCCCUCCCGGAAGUGGGCGGGGCGCGCCGCAGCCCGAGGCCCCGGGUUGGGCGCGGCGCGGCGCGGGGGCGGGGCCUGCGUGCGGCGGCGGCGGCGGCGGCGGCUGCCCGCGCCCCUCCCCCGCGCGGCGCUCAGUGCCAGGCGGGAGGCGGCAGCGGUUGGAGGCUUCGCCGGGCUGUGCAGCGGGGACUUCGGCGGCGGCGGCGCCUCGGCACCUCGGCCCUGAGAGAAGGCUCUUUGGAGCUACUACUAAGGUAAUUCUUUGCCCUGGUUUUUGACUCCCUCUGGGCGCACUUUCUGUUUCCCAACAUUUGUCACAGCAGCACAUUAAUAGUAGUGGGACUAUUUGAUUAUGAUGCAUCUCUUCCAGCAGAUUGUAAGCUGCAUGAGAGCUAGGGCCAGUCUCCUUGCUCACUAUUGUCUGCCAUGUCUAGCAUGAUGCCAAGCAUGUGAUCAAAGAUUAAUAAAUAUUUGAAUAAAUGCA